rnacentral:lncRNA from 1 species
CCUUGACCUACUUCCCAUUGAAGAUUUUCGUAUACUUGAAGCUUCAAUUCUAUGCCUAAUAACCCAAUAACUCAUAGUACCCAAUGUAGUAGCCAUUAUGGUAGUCCCAAUAAUAGUUACCCCAAUUGCAAGCCAUCUUUGUUUUUUCCCCACAACUAAAAAUGACAAAGCCAAAAAUGACACAGAUAUAAGCACACAAGCUACCCACAUUAGUUUGUUAAUAAUAGCCAUCAUUUGUUUCUUUGCUUUGCUUUCAACAACAACUAUUGAUGUUUGAACCACCACAACCGCGAGGGAGAUGAAAAGCGCAACCGAAUCAAACACGAUGAAUACUAGAAACGCAGGUUCUGAAGCUAUGUUUGCUUCGCCAAGGGAUUUUCCUUUACGAACUUUUUUUGGAUCAUCCACGAAUUGGCCUGGGACAGUGAAGAUGGCUGCGAAGGCAACCGUUGCUAUGAGGACUGCGACGACUGUUGUGGAGUUUAUUGCAUUGUUGAGUCCUUCUGUGUGCAUUUUGUUGAGACGUUUU